rnacentral:rRNA from 1 species
AACGAACGCUGGCGGCAUGCCUAACACAUGCAAGUCGAACGAGACCUUCGGGUCUAGUGGCGCACGGGUGCGUAACGCGUGGGAACCUGCCCUUAGGUUCGGAAUAACUCCCCGAAAGGGGUGCUAAUACCGGAUAAUGUCUUCGGACCAAAGAUUUAUCGCCCUUGGAUGGGCCCGCGUUGGAUUAGCUAGUUGGUAGGGUAAAAGCCUACCAAGGCGACGAUCCAUAGCUGGUCUGAGAGGAUGCUCGGCCACACGGGGACUGAGACACGGCCCAGACUCCUACGGGAGGCAGCAGUGGGGAAUAUUGGACAAUGGGCGCAAGCCUGAUCCAGCAAGGCCGCGUGAGUGAUGAAGGCCUUAGGGGUGUAAAGCCCUUUUACCCGGGAUGAUGAUGACAGUACCCGGAGAAUAAGCUCCCGCUAACUCCGUG